rnacentral:rRNA from 1 species
GAUGAACGCUGGCGGCGUGCCUAAUACAUGCAAGUCGAGCGAACGGACGAGAAGCUUGCUGCUCUGAUGUUAGCGGCGGACGUGUGAGUAACACGUGUAUAACCUACCUAUAAUACUGGUAUAACUUCGGGAAACCGGAGCUAAUACCGUAUAAUAUUUUGAACCGCAUUGUUCAAAAGUAAAUUACGGUCUUUCUGUCACUUAUAGAUGGAUCUCGGCUGCAUUAGCUAGUUGUGAAGGUAACGGCUUACCAAGGCAACGAUGCAUAGACGACCUGAGAGGGGGGUAGGCCACCUGGGAAGGGGGACAGGGUCAAGACGACUACGGGACGGAGCAGAAGGGAAUCUUACGCAAUGGGCGAAAGCCUGACGGAGCAAGGGCGAGUGAGUGAUGAAGGUCUUCGGAGCGUAAAACUCUGUUAUUAGGGAAGAACAUAUGUGUAAGUAAAUGUGCACAUCUUGACGGUAACUAAUAAGAAAGCAACGGCUAACUACGUG